UACGUAGGUGGCAAGCGUUACUCGGAAUCACUGGGCGUAAAGCGCAGGUAGGCGGCUCGAUAAGUCUCUUGUGAAAGCUCCCGGCUCAACUGGGAGAGGUCAAGGGAAACUGUUGGGCUAGAGUGUGGUAGAGGAAACUGGAAUUCCCGGUGUAGCGGUGAAAUGCGUAGAUAUCGGGAGGAAUACCUAUGGCGAAAGCAGGUUUCUGGGCCAUCACUGACGCUGAGCUGCGAAAGCUAGGGGAGCAAACAGG
rnacentral:rRNA from 1 species